CAGCCGCCGCGGUAAUACGUAGGUGGCAAGCGUUGUCCGGAAUUAUUGGGCGUAAAGGGCUCGCAGGCGGUUUCUUAAGUCUGAUGUGAAAGCCCCCGGCCCAACCGGGGAGGGUCAUUGGAAACUGGGAAACUUGAGUGCAGAAGAGGAGAGUGGAAUUCCACGUGUAGCGGUGAAAUGCGUAGAGAUGUGGAGGAACACCAGUGGCGAAGGCGACUCUCUGGUCUGUAACUGACGCUGAGGAGCGAAAGCGUGGGGAGCGAACAGGAUUAGAUACCCGAGUAGUCCCUGUCUCUUAUAU
rnacentral:rRNA from 1 species